CCUACGGGAGGCAGCAGUAGGGAAUCUUCCACAAUGGGCGCAAGCCUGAUGGAGCAACACCGCGUGAGUGAAGAAGGGUUUCGGCUCGUAAAGCUCUGUUGUUGGAGAAGAACGUGCGUGAGAGUAACUGUUCACGCAGUGACGGUAUCCAACCAGAAAGUCACGGCUAACUACGUGCCAGCAGCCGCGGUAAUACGUAGGUGGCAAGCGUUAUCCGGAUUUAUUGGGCGUAAAGCGAGCGCAGGCGGUUGCUUAGGUCUGAUGUGAAAGCCUUAGGCUUAACCGAAGAAGUGCAUCGGAAACCGGGCAACUUGAGUGCAGAAGAGGACAGGGGAACUCCAUGUGUAGCGGUGGAAUGCGUAGAUAUAUGGAAGAACACCAGUGGCGAAGGCGGCUGUCUGGUCUGCAACUGACGCUGAGGCUCGAAAGCAUGGGUAGCAAACAGGAUUAGAUACCCUUGUAGUC
rnacentral:rRNA from 1 species